ensembl:lncRNA
CUAAGGAAUGGAAAGCAGCACAUCCCGGCUUCACCACACACAAGGGCCGGCAGUGCAGUUCACAUAGUCUCUGAACUCCCUUUACUGAUCACUCAGUUAACCCACAGGGGUUCCUAAGUAGUCCAGGGGUUUGGGGAAGGGGUGUUAUCCUCCAGCAUGCUGGCAUCUGGCAAGGAGCUUAGAACAGGGGAAGCCAUGCCUUUCUGUGGGUAGAAUACACCAGAGGACUCAGAUUUGUUCCCAUCUGUCUUAGGGGAGCCUCAAUAGCUGUGUUGAGCUUGUGGGGUGUUUCUGUGGCCCAAAGCAUAAUGGGCAGGUGGGUAUAGAGGGUCAUGAGUUCAGGGUCUGGGAGAGCCUCUAUUUUGGGAGAGCCCAGGAAAUGGGGGCCAGUCAUCUGUUGAAUUAAUGCUGUAUAACAUGAGGCCAGAAAUCCUGGGGCAACUGAUGGCCGUGCUCAAUGAUCAAGAGACUGUAGGCAGCAUUUGGUCCCCUAUUUCCUUUUUUUUUUUUUUCCUUUUUUCCUUUUAAGUAUGAUCUUCAGAACAGCUUGUAUUUCUAGGUGGCUAAAAUAAACAUUUUUCUUCCUUCCUCUCUCUGGAUGUUUACCUGACAAUCUCCUGGUGGUAUGAGUAGCCUUCUGGUGUUCUGUCCUUACAGAUUGUCACACGAAAAAAUUGGGGCGGUGUGGGGGUGACCUCUGUAUCUGCUGGCCUUGCAGGCAGCGGCUUCCUUUUCCAGGGUGACCCACUGGAGCUCUGGAGGUGGUGGGAAGCGGGUAGCGAGGAGCGACAGCAGCAGGAACCGACAAGGGAGGCACACACUCUCCCGGGGCCCGUGGGACGCAGGUGAAGUUACCCCCAUUGAGGUUAGGGUUAGGCCAUCUAAUCCUUUCGCGCUGGCUCCAUUUUAUCAACACAGUGAAGCCUAGUGUCGCAUCACCCUUUCCGACUGUGGCUAAGGAGAAAUCGCUGCCUCCCGGAAGCCUGCUGAUGGGUUGUCCAAAAGCAGCGCGCCGCGGUGCCCUUCGCCACGGACAGGUCCGCCCCGCACCGAGGCCCCAGGCCACGCAAGGGCGCACCCGGCUCAAGAGACAAGGCAUCCUCCACCGGAGGCCGGCGACCGAGAGUCCCCACGGUCCCAGGAGGGGGUCUGAUUCUGCAAAGGGAAACACAUCCUCCUACCACCGGGACCUGCCCUCCGCGCUGCAGGCAAAGAGUCGGAUACAGCCGCCGCAAUUCCGGAGAGUCCCGGAGGCGACACAGACACCGACGACAGCAGGACCCCGUAGCGCGCAGCGGCGAGCAGCGAGAUCCAGCGCCAGCAAGCCAGCGCGCAGACCAGACCUACUGGGCCAGCUGAUACGGCAAGGACGAGCAUCUGGUGUAUUAGCAUUCUCAUUGGUGGACAUGAUUAUGAGACAGAGGAAGAAAGCUGUGAAACGGGCCUGGGCUUCCACAGGAGGCUAUGCGGGGAUCGGCAGCUGUGGGGUGGCUGGGCUGAAAGCGACCACCUUGGCUCCGACUGAUUCCAUAUCUUCUGGAAGGUGCCACUAUGUUCCCUAG